rnacentral:rRNA from 1 species
AGCGAACGCUGGCGGCAGGCUUAACACAUGCAAGUCGAGCGGGCAUAGCAAUAUGUCAGCGGCAGACGGGUGAGUAACGCGUGGGAACGUACCUUUUGGUUCGGAACAACUGAGGGAAACUUCAGCUAAUACCGGAUAAGCCCUUACGGGGAAAGAUUUAUCGCCGAAAGAUCGGCCCGCGCCUGAUUAGCUAGUUGGUGAGGUAAUGGCUCACCAAGGCGACGAUCAGUAGCUGGUCUGAGAGGAUGAUCAGCCACAUUGGGACUGAGACACGGCCCAAACUCCUACGGGAGGCAGCAGUGGGGAAUAUUGGACAAUGGGCGCAAGCCUGAUCCAGCCAUGCCGCGUGAGUGAUGAAGGCCCUAGGGUUGUAAAGCUCUUUUGUGCGGGAAGAUAAUGACGGUACCGCAAGAAUAAGCCCCGGCUAACUUCGUG